rnacentral:rRNA from 1 species
UACGAAGGGGGCUAGCGUUGCUCGGAAUCACUGGGCGUAAAGGGUGCGUAGGCGGGGCUUUAAGUCAGGGGUGAAAUCCUGGAGCUCAACUCCAGAACUGCCUUUGAUACUGAAGAUCUUGAGUUCGGGAGAGGUGAGUGGAACUGCGAGUGUAGAGGUGAAAUUCGUAGAUAUUCGCAAGAACACUAGUGGCGAAGGCGGCUCACUGGCCCGAUACUGACGCUGAGGCACGAAAGCGUGGGGAGCAAACAGG